rnacentral:lncRNA from 1 species
AGGCGCAGGCGCAGAGGGUGCGAUCCUACGGACCUCAAGCUCCUAGGAGGCACGGAGGUAGGGCUGUCGCCAUCUGACCCUAACCUCAUCUGGUUGCUUCCGCUGGCCCAGGUCCAGCCUAGGUGGCUAGAGCGUCGCGGGACGUUGGGCGCGCGCUGCGGACCGCCCCAGAGCCCGCCGCUCGCGCCUGACGCCUCAAGGUAAAGCGAGGCCUGGAGCCCACCCUAAGUGUCCCUAAUGCCCGGUUUAGGAGAGGAGGGUAUCUUGCAGACAAGCAGCCAGCCUAUGAGCCACAGACACUUAUGUUUUGGUCCACACAGGUUUGGGGGAGGAUGAACUAGUUGCUAGAAUUAAGACCGAAAAACGUAGUUUUAAAAGGGGGCGGGAGAAAGCUUCACAACGUGUAUACAAAAGUCACCUGGCAGCACUGGACGCAGAAUCCCGUGUGAUGUCAAACACUUAGAGCUGUCCAUCUCAGGUGAGGCAAAGUCAUGGGAUUCCCCACUCGUCUCUGUACCUCCGAGGUUUCUGAAGCCAUAUGAAGUUGCAGAGCCUUGGGUAGAGUUUGUGCUUUUGGACUGAAAAAUGGAUCCUUAAGCCCAAAUCAACAUCUUAACUGUCCCAGGAUUGUAUGCUAUUAAAUACGCCUUGGGGGGGGGGGGGGCGCUACCUGCUCUUUAAAAAGUCAAGUAGAAAAGAAAUGAAAGAUUAUCAUUAGUAUACAGUGAGGUACGUGGUAGGUGAGACAGUAGUUUCCUAGAAAUGGUGAAGUGGAAGCUUUGGAUAACACCUGGAGGAAUAAAGAACUGAUGAAGUAGAGAUGGUACCUGUAGGUAACUGAGGAGAUUUGUGAAGAAGAGUGUGGGAGCUGAAAGGGCAGUGUGGUGUUAACAUGAUCUUAGAUGGGAGACUUGAGCAGCCUAAAGCCAAUGGGAAAGAGUGAAGUCUUUCCAGUAUAGUGGAGAGGAGUACUGUCUCAGAAUAGUAGGACAGUCAAGUCACAUCCAGAUAGAGGAUAUGUAGUGUUGGUAUAGAAAUGGCACCUUUCUAUAAGAGAAUCACUUAUAAGAUGCAGGGAGGAGGAAGUAGCUACGGCUUGCAGUUGCAGGUAACUUUAUGUUAUUACUGGAAUGAAGUUGAAGGGAUUUUUUAUUUUUUGGUGGCUUCAGAUCUCAUUAUUUAGAAGGAAAAUAAAUCUGAAAGCAAAAGGAAAAAGUAGGGAAUUGGAGGCUUGGUAGCCUUCAAGAGACCUAAAACAUCAUGAGAAACAUCAUGAACAAUUCACUACAGCGUAUAGUGAAACUUGACACCAUAAACUCUUGCUGGCAUGACCUAGGACAAGUGGAAAUUUCUAAAUCAUGUAAUUAUAGAUCAAUUUUAUGGCAUUGUAGUAGAUGCCAUUCCAAGACCAUUUUAACUGGAACUGCAUCUUGUGGUCUCUCGUGAUCCCACCUCAUGUAUGAACACAUACAGAUUUAAAACUGAAUCCGUGCUCUUCCUCCACCAACACAUUCUCUUGUGGUAGUAAAAGAUAUUGCCCAAGAGUAAGUUAUUUUAUAAUGAUGAAGGGGUGAAAUCAUAAAAAGAGUGCAUCAGGGCUGAAGAGAUGGCUCGGUGGUUUAGAGCUCUUGUGCUUGCAGAGUGCUGGGGUUCAAUUCCCAGCAUCCACAUGGCGGCUCACAACCACUUAUAACUCCAGUUCCAGGGGAUUCAGCGCCCUCUUUAAACUUCUGUAGGCAGUAAGUAUGCAUGUGGUGCACAUAGGUAUAUGCAGGCAAAAGUCAUACACACAAAAAAAAAUUUAGUUUAAAACAAAAAAAAAAGAUGUAUCAACUAUAAACAUGAUUAAAGCCAAAUUUAUAAAGUGUGUUAACUGAGAAGCUAAUAGACCCAAAAGGAGAGAGACAAAUUGGAAGUUGAGAUAGUUGGAGAUUGUUUUCUCAAUGAGUGAUAAGUAUCCAGAAAAUCACAGAGUAUAUAGAGGACUUAAAUAGCCCUGUCAGUCAUCUUGAAUUAAUGAACAUUUAUAGAGCAAUUCCUAUUAAUGCACAGAAUUAGUAUUAAUUAGCAGAUACACAUAUUUUCCAAGUGUGUAAAGAAUUACUAACCUAGAACAUCUGGGCAAUGAAACAAGCAUGUUAUCUGAUCACAAUGAAUUUAACUAGAAAUUAGCAGUGUGAAAAAUGUUUCUGAAUGGAAAAGGAUAGUAUCCUUUUAUGUGUCAAAGAAGAAAUCAAAGGUAGUAGUUUUGUACGAGCUGAAAAUAAAAAUAUAGAAUUUCAAAAUAAUGGGGUAGUAUUAAGUCAUUAGUAGGAAAUUGAUCACAUUUAGUGACUUUAGUGUUCAUCUUUUAAAAAAUCAGAAAAAUGAAAUGCAAAGUAAUUUAAGGAAGAUUAAAUACCAAAGAGCAGUGGAACAAACAAUAAAUAAUCAAUGAAACAAGAACUGAUUUUUUGAGUCAGUAAAACUUAGAAGUCACUGGCCAAAUUGAGU